UUUUAUACAUUUUUAAUAACUUCGUAGCAUUUGCAAUAUCUUGAUCACUUCUUUGUAAUACUUGAGAUACAUCAUGUGUAAUUCCUAUAACUUUUUCAUUAGAUGCAAGAUGAAAAUAAAUUCAAAAGAUUUUAUAUAAUUCAACUCAAUUAGUGUUUCACCUUUUUUUUAAUCUAAAUCUCAACCACUUCUAACACAUCAAUCAUAGAAGAGAAUAGAGAAAUUAUACUAAGUAAUAUACCAUAUUGCGAGCUUCAUCUUGUUUCCAC
rnacentral:lncRNA from 1 species